rnacentral:rRNA from 1 species
UCGGUGGGGAUGAGUGGCGAACGGGUGAGUAACACGUGGGUAAUCUGCCCUGCACUCUGGGAUAAGCCUUGGAAACGAGGUCUAAUACCGGAUAUCACAACUCUUCGCAUGGGGGGUUGUUGAAAGUUCUGGCGGUGCAGGAUGAACCCGCGGCCUAUCAGCUUGUUGGUGGGGUAAUGGCCUACCAAGGCGACGACGGGUAGCCGGCCUGAGAGGGUGACCGGCCACACUGGGACUGAGACACGGCCCAGACUCCUACGGGAGGCAGCAGUGGGGAAUAUUGCACAAUGGGCGCAAGCCUGAUGCAGCGACGCCGCGUGAGGGAUGACGGCCUUCGGGUUGUAAACCUCUUUCGCCAGGGACGAAGCGCAAGUGACGGUACCUGGAUAAGAAGCACCGGCUAACUACGUGCCAGCAGCCGCGGUAAUACGUAGGGUGCGAGCGUUGUCCGGAUUUAUUGGGCGUAAAGAGCUCGUAGGCGGUUUGUCGCGUCGGCCGUGAAAUCUCCACGCUUAACGUGGAGCGUGCGGUCGAUACGGGCAGACUUGAGUUCGGUAGGGGAGACUGGAAUUCCUGGUGUAGCGGUGAAAUGCGCAGAUAUCAGGAGGAACACCGGUGGCGAAGGCGGGUCUCUGGGCCGAUACUGACGC